CCAUACCAGGAAAAUCCCCUAGUUGCACAGAUGGCUGGAGUGCCAGACCACAGAGAAAUCCAGGCUGGCCCGAGGGAAGGAGCCCUUCCUAAUCAAGGACAUGAAGCCCCAGCUCAACCAGAUAACCUGGCAUUGGCUCAGAACCAGCCAGAACCUCAGCCCGUUCCACCUCAUGUGGCCCCACAUGAUCAACCUUUGGCGCUUCUGCCUGAACCACCGGCAGUAUUGCCAUAUAGACCCAGAAGGAUGGACCCUAAUCUAUUCCCUCCACUUGCAAGAGGGAGGAGAGGCCGAGGAGGGAACAACCUUUUUGCUAAUCAUGACAUAAAUAGACCAGGGGCAAACUGAAGAAAUCAUCCUGAAGUCGAAGAGCAGGAAGAACACAGGGAGGAAGUUCCACCCAUACCACACAGAGCAGAACCCAGGUUUGAUUACGUUCAGCCAGAGCAGG
rnacentral:lncRNA from 1 species